GACGAACGCUGGCGGCGUGCUUAACACAUGCAAGUCGAGCGGUAAGGCCCUUUCGGGGGUACACGAGCGGCGAACGGGUGAGUAACACGUGGGUGACCUGCCCUCAGCUCUGGGAUAAGCCUGGGAAACCGGGUCUAAUACCGGAUAUGACUCCAUGACGCAUGUUGUGGGGUGAAAGCCUUGUGCGGCUGAGGAUGGGCCCGCGGCCUAUCAGCUUGUUGGUGGGGUGAUGGCCUACCAAGGCGACGACGGGUAGCCGGCCUGAGAGGGCGACCGGCCACACUGGGACUGAGACACGGCCCAGACUCCUACGGGAGGCAGCAGUGGGGAAUCUUGCGCAAUGGGCGAAAGCCUGACGCAGCGACGCCGCGUGAGGGAUGACGGCCUGG
rnacentral:rRNA from 1 species